AGUGAACGCUGGCGGUAGGCCUAACACAUGCAAGUCGAACGGCAGCACAGUAAGAGCUUGCUCUUACGGGUGGCGAGUGGCGGACGGGUGAGGAAUACAUCGGAAUCUACUUUUUCGUGGGGGAUAACGUAGGGAAACUUACGCUAAUACCGCAUACGACCUACGGGUGAAAGCAGGGGAUCUUCGGACCUUGCGCGAUUGAAUGAGCCGAUGUCGGAUUAGCUAGUUGGCGGGGUAAAGGCCCACCAAGGCGACGAUCCGUAGCUGGUCUGAGAGGAUGAUCAGCCACACUGGAACUGAGACACGGUCCAGACUCCUACGGGAGGCAGCAGUGGGGAAUAUUGUACAAUGGGCGCAAGCCUGAUCCAGCCAUACCGCGUGGGUGAAGAAGGCCUUCGGGUUUUAAAGCCCUUUUGUUGGGAAAGAAAAGCAGCAGGUUAAUACCCCGCUGUUCUGACGGUACCCAAAGAAUAAGCACCGGCUAACUUCGUG
rnacentral:rRNA from 1 species